rnacentral:lncRNA from 1 species
CUUUAGGUAGCUAAUAAUUAGCACAAUGUGCCGUCUUGACUAUCUUUUUGUGAACCAACUUCUAUAUGUGAGAUUUGAGCCUUUACAAGGGGAUUUAUCUUGAAUUAUAAAUGCAACCCCCUUCGUUUUGUGUGAGUGUGUUUCCUAUUUUGUCACAUUCUAGAACUUGUCUUGUGACCGUGUCAAAGCGAAAAUUAAUCUGCAUCAUGUGAAAAAUGUUGGGGCAUUUUGUAGGUAUUUCUUUUGGCCUUUAAUUUUAUUGUUUUGAAAUCAUCCUUAGUUGCCCACUUUGAGCCUAUUGAUUAUUUAUUCCUUGGUACCUAGAUAUGAUUAAUAUAUUGUUUUUUGUGGUAACCAUUUGAAAUUGAAAGUGGAGUAACUAUUCAAAAGAAAAUUUUCCUAUAUUUGAGAUGUUCAAUUGGAUGUGCAUGAUACAGUAAAAAAAAAAAUGUAUGAUGAUGCAGGAUAGGAAGAAAGAAAUAAAAGUAGGUUGUGUGGUUAUAGUGAACAUUUCUUUCAAAAGAAUGAGAAUUGCAAAACAAAAAGUCCAAAAAGAAAAGAAGAAAAAAAAAAGAAUUUUCAUGUUUGAGUUGCUCAAUUGUUUUAUGAGCAUGAUAGAAAGAAAAAAAAAAUUAUUAAAAAAUUGAAAGAGCACACUUUUGUAGAAAAGAAAGGAAGAGAGGUUGAUUUGGAGUUUGAAGCAACAGUUAAAAGUAUAUAUAGGAGCUCCAUUUUGGUUUCAAAGGUUGCUAUUUGUUUUUUGUAUUUUUACCCCUUUGAUUAUCCAUUUCUUCUUAUAUCCCACCUUGCACGAAUUAACCAUGGCCACGUUACAACCCGUAAGACCCCAUCUUUUGCAUGCAUAUGGACUAUUUAGUGGAGAUUUGGUCAAAUUACAAGCUUAUGGUAAUGUGCAUUUUGUGGAAACUUGAGUGCUUAUUUUCCAAAGUCCCUAAACACUUUAAAGAGAUCGUGAGAGAGAGCUCCUGUUCAUUUAAAGGUAGUCUUCAUGGACAUAUAAGACUCUAAUUGGGCAACCUUUUGACUAUUCCAUAUAUUUUAUAUUGUCUGUCAUUGUUGAUUGUAAUUUUUGGUCUCUCAUUUGACUAUCUCUGUCAUCCUUUUUGAAAAUGUAUUGAGCUAGGAAAUUUGCUUGAGGACAAGCAAAGGUUAAGUGUGGGGGAGUUGAUAAACUCCAAUUAAAUGUAUUAUAUGUAGAUACUUUUUGUGGUAUUUUAGAAUAAUUACUUAUUAUUAUAUAAAUUACUAG